UACGUAGGGGGCUAGCGUUGUCCGGAUUUAUUGGGCGUAAAGGGCGCGUAGGCGGCCUUCUAAGUCAGACGUGAAAUCCCCAGGCUUAACUUGGGAACUGCGUCUGAUACUGGGAGGCUUGAGUGCGGGAGAGGGAUGUGGAAUUCCAGGUGUAGCGGUGAAAUGCGUAGAUAUCUGGAGGAACACCGGUGGCGAAGGCGGCAUCCUGGACCGACACUGACGCUGAGGCGCGAAAGCUAGGGGAGCAAACGGG
rnacentral:rRNA from 1 species